CCUACGGGUGGCAGCAGUGGGGAAUCUUUGGCAAUGGGCGCAAGCCUGACCCAGCAACGCCGCGUGAAGGAAUAAGGCUUUCGGGUUGUAAACUUCUUUUCUCAGGGACGAAACAAGUGACGGUACCUGAGGAAUAAGCCACGGCUAACUACGUGCCAGCAGCCGCGGUAAUACGUAGGUGGCAAGCGUUAUCCGGAUUUACUGGGUGUAAAGGGCGUGUAGGCGGGAGUGCAAGUCAGAUGUGAAAACCACGGGCUCAACCUGUGGCCUGCAUUUGAACCUGUAGUUCGUGAGUACUGGAGAGGCAGACGGAAUUCCUAGUGUAGCGGUGAAAUGCGUAGAUAUUAGGAGGAACACCAGUGGCGAAGGCGGUCUGCUGGACAGCAACUGACGCUGAGGCGCGAAAGCGUGGGGAGCAAACAGGAUUAGAUACCCUUGUAGUC
rnacentral:rRNA from 1 species